CCACCCCCUCCCCUCGGUCUCCCGUGCGGUGCCCUGAGAGCUGGAGGCUGACGUCAGGGGCCUGAAUUCCUGACUUUGCCUGCACGCAUUUGUCCAUGUAAGUAAGGUUCAAAUGUCCUGGAUGUCGGAACUGGCCCCGACCAACUUCCAGCCCGUCCACUUCACACGGGAAAUCUGAAGCUCUCGGAAGAGAAACGACUCGUACAAGGUCAUGCCCGCCACAGAUCCCGGCGCGGGAGCCGGAUGCUCAGUCUCCCAGCUAUGUUCCUGGCUGCAGGCGAGGGCCCGACUACCUCCUUCCCGAGGACCAGUCAGCGGGGCUGGAUGUCAGAGGGCAACGCGGACCACCCUGGGAAGAGAUUCGGAGCUUCCCCGGGGCCCCUACGCGGUCAGUUCCUGGAAGGUUCUGAUUGCCAGUGAGCCCUGCAUAGCCAUGCUGAUAAGUUGCUUCAAGGCAACUCCAGUGCUCAAAUAACGAACCCCUGGAAUUUACUUCACAGCCCUAUCCAGAAACCCAGAUCUUGUGCUUAUAGCUUCAAAAAAUAAAUAAAUAAAUAAAUCUACGAACUGGGUGAAUUAGUUGAAUAAAGGCAAGACUGUUCUUGGAA